rnacentral:rRNA from 1 species
GAGUUUGAUCGUGGCUCAGGAUGAACGCUAGCGGGAGGCCUAAUACAUGCAAGUCGAACGGUAACAGGGUAGCAAUACCGCUGACGAGUGGCGCACGGGUGAGUAACACGUACACAACCUGCCUUAUACUGGGGCAUAGCCUCGGGAAACUGAGAUUAAUUCCCCAUAAUGUUGCGACAUGGCAUCAUGUUGCAAUUAAAGAAUUUCGGUAUAAGAUGGGUGUGCGUCUGAUUAGCUAGUUGGCGGGGUAACGGCCCACCAAGGCAACGAUCAGUAACUGGUCUGAGAGGAUGAUCAGUCACACGGGCACUGAGACACGGGCCCGACUCCUACGGGAGGCAGCAGUAGGGAAUAUUGGACAAUGGGCGCAAGCCUGAUCCAGCCAUCCCGCGUGAAGGAUUAAGGUCCUAUGGAUUGUAAACUUCUUUUCUCUGGGAAUAAAAACCGGUAUUUAUAUUGGCUUGAAGGUACCAGAGGAAUAAGCACCGGCUAACUCCGUGCCAGCCGCCGCCGUAAU